GGACUACCAGGGUUUCUAAUCCUGUUCGCUCCCCACGCUUUCGCUCCUCAGCGUCAGUAUCGGCCCAGAGACCCGCCUUCGCCACCGGUGUUCCUCCUGAUAUCUGCGCAUUUCACCGCUACACCAGGAAUUCCAGUCUCCCCUACCGAACUCUAGCCUGCCCGUAUCGACUGCAGACCACACGGUUGAGCCGCAGGUUUUCACAGUCGACGCGACAGGCCGCCUACGAGCUCUUUACGCCCAAUAAAUCCGGACAACGCUCGCGCCCUACGUCUUACCGCGGCGGCUGGCAC
rnacentral:rRNA from 1 species